CCGACAUGAGCUGGUGUGCGCCCUUUGCGAAAUGUCCGAAUCCCGGUCAUCCACACGACCCGAAGGUUCGAUUCAGACCAGGAUUGCAUAGUUCAGGGUGCAAUCGACCGGGAUUUCGACUUGGGGGUUCGUUUCGCCGAACCUCUACAAAUUCAGGGUUAAAAAUGAACUUUUUCCUAUUAAACUGGGUAGUAUAUCUCAAUGUUAUUUUGGAAUGUCAAUUAAUGGUCGGUGGAAAUUGGUGGGUAUUAAUUAGACAUUUAUUGUAAGUGAUGCUGAUCUAUGUUCCUGUCACACUAUAUAAACACUGGCAAUUUGCAUCAAGCCACAAAACUCACAAUAAGAGUGGAAAAGAGGAAUAAAAGAGUUGCUAAUCGACCAUGGUAAUUCUCAAGAGAAACACAAGGGUUGUUUGCUUGGCGGUGCUUGUGGUCAUGGCCACAACCUUAUUGCCUUUCUCAACUACACAAGGGGCGUGCUUAGUGGCACCGGAAUGCUCGGGUCCCUACCCAAAUGUAAUAUGCGGUGAGUUAUGCGCUCGUUACGGUUAUAGCAAAAAUGGAUACUGCAAAGAUUCAAGAAAUUGCUGUUGCAGUGGCAAAAACUUAAAAGAGUCAGUCCAGGUGGAUCCUACUGCAAAUCCUUAGGAGAGAAACUCUAGAAGCUGCUGCACCACAAUAUGUAAUGGUGAGAUGAUUAAAUUUGAAAUGAAAUAAGUAUUUAUAAGUGCA